rnacentral:rRNA from 1 species
CCUACGGGAGGCUGCAGUCGAGAAUAUUCCGCAAUGGGCGAAAGCCUGACGGAGCGACACCGCGUGAUUGAUGAAGUCCUUCGGGACGUAAAGGUCUUUUAUGAGGGAGGAAGUUUAUUGACGUUACCUCAUGAAUAAGAGGCUCCUAACUCUGUGCCAGCAGGAGCGGUAAUACAGAGGCCUCAAGCGUUAUCCGGAAUUAUUGGGCGUAAAGGGUGCGUAGGUGGUCAUGUUAGUCUUUUGUCAAACCCCUCGGCUUAACCGAGGACUCGCAAGAGAAACGGCAUGACUCGAGGAUGUAAGAGGUGUAUGGAACUCAUAGUGUAGGGGUGAAAUCCGUUGAUAUUAUGGGGAACACCAAAUGCGAAGGCAGUACACUGGUACACUCCUGACACUGAAGCACGAAAGCGUGGGUAGCGAAUGGGAUUAGAUACCCGUGUAGUC